UCCUACGGGGGGCAGCAGUAGGGAAUCUUCCACAAUGGGCGAAAGCCUGAUGGAGCAACGCCGCGUGGGUGAAGAAGGUCUUCGGAUCGUAAAACCCUGUUGUUAGAGAAGAAAGUGCGUGAGAGUAACUGUUCACGUUUCGACGGUAUCUAACCAGAAAGCCACGACUAACUACGUGCCAGCAGCCGCGGUAAUACGUAGGUGGCAAGCGUUAUCCGGAUUUAUUGGGCGUAAAGGGAACGCAGGCGGUCUUUUAAGUCUGAUGUGAAAGCCUUCGGCUUAACCAGAGUAGUGCGUUGGAAACU
rnacentral:rRNA from 1 species